rnacentral:rRNA from 1 species
UGGAUCCAGACUUUGAUCAUGGCUCAGGACGAACGCUGGCGGCAUGCCUAACACAUGCAAGUCGAACGGAGUUUAAUUGACAGAAGCCUUCGGGCAGAAGACGAUUAAACUUAGUGGCGGACGGGUGAGUAACGCGUGGAUAACCUGCCUUAUAGAGGGGGACAACAGUUGGAAACGACUGCUAAUACCGCAUAAGGUCUCGAGACCGCAUGAUCUUGAGAAGAAAGAUGGCCUCUGAAAAUGCUAUCGCUAUAAGAUGGAUCCGCGUCUGAUUAGCUGGUUGGUGAGGUAACGGCUCACCAAGGCAACGAUCAGUAGCCGGCCUGAGAGGGUGAACGGCCACAUUGGGACUGAGACACGGCCCAAACUCCUACGGGAGGCAGCAGUGGGGAAUCUUCCGCAAUGGGCGAAAGCCUGACGGAGCAAUGCCGCGUGAAUGAAGAAGGCCUUCGGGUCGUAAAAUUCUGUCCUUAUUGAAGAGAGGUUCAUGUGUAAACAAUGCAUGAAUAGGACGGUAGAUAAGGAGGAAGCCCCGGCUAACUACGUGCCAGCAGCCGCGGUAAUACGUAGGGGGCGAGCGUUGUCCGGAAUCACUGGGCGUAAAGGGCGCGUAGGCGGCCUAGUAAGUCAGAUGUGAAAAGUGAGGGCUCAACCCUUAGAGUGCAUCUGAUACUGCUAGGCUUGAGUACAGAAGAGGAAAGCGGAAUUCCUAGUGUAGCGGUGAAAUGCGUAGAUAUUAGGAGGAACACCAGUGGCGAAGGCGGCUUUCUGGGCUGAAACUGACGCUGAGGCGCGAAAGCGUGGGGAGCAAACAGGAUUAGAUACCCUGGUAGUCCACGCCGUAAACGAUGGGUACUAGGUGUCGGGGGUAUCGAUACCCUCGGUGCCGGAGUAAACACAAUAAGUACCCCGCCUGGGGAGUACGAUCGCAAGAUUGCAACUCAAAUGAAUUGACGGA